GCGGGAAUAGCUCAGUUGGUAGAGCGCAACCUUGCCAAGGUUGAGGUCGCGAGUUCGAGUCUCGUUUCCCGCUCAA
rnacentral:tRNA from 1 species